CCGAUCACCGCGCCCACCCAGUCGUUCUUCAGGCUGAAGGAGAGCGGCGGCUCCUGGAAACCAGCGCCCACGGGCUGCUGGACGCCGGAGUGGCCCCUCCAGCCGCCACCUCCGCCGGUCUUCUGGCCUCCGCGACCGCCUUGGCUCGGCUCCUGCUCCGGGCUCCUUUCCGGAGCCCGAGGCAGCGCCGCGCCCCGCCGAGAAGCAACAACCCAGGAAGAGGCGUUGGCGCCGGUUUCCGGCCGAGACAUGGCUCCGCGAACAGUAUCCGGCACCUCCGACGUCUUCCGGCAGGCCCUGCACACACGAGACGCCGUCGAAGGCUGGUCCACGAGGGCGGCCACGCAGCCGCUGCUCAAGGCGCCCGCGCGCCGACGCCCCGCCCAGGCCGCUGCCCAUUGGCGGACGCGGCGCUGUGAGCGGGGCUGGUCCAAUGGGCUGCCUCCAUCCUGCACUCCUUGCAUCCCGCCGGCGCGCUUGAACGCCGACCUGUGGGCUGAGAGGACACCAGUAGCUGGAAAGCCGCCCGGCGCUGGAAGAGCGCUGCCUGACAUCCGAGAGGCCUUCGGUACCUCGCGCCGCCCGCAGCAGGAGCGCCCUCCGCGAGUCCCGGCCGCCUGGGCCCGGGUCUGACCCCAUACUGGGCUUCGGGGUUGGGCCGCCCCGCAGCGCGGCUCAAGCCCUGGACCAAAAAACCCAGGGGCCGCCCGAGGGCUUCCCGGGCUUCGACGGGCUGUGGCGUCCAGCUUCUACCAGGACACUGAGGGGGCCUCGCCCCAGGAGGAGAAAGAGGGGAGGAUUUGCCUGUAUUCACGCGACGGGCACUCAUCGACCUGCGCAUCCUUCUCUACUGGUUCCAAGGGGAGCACCUGCAAACCCGUAGAGCGUGUGGAAAAGAUCCUAGGUGAGUGCUUGGCGGGGGCGCGCUCCACCCGCCGGCACGGGCGAGCUCCUUCUCCCGCGCGCGCGGCCGGGGUUACAGUCUUGCCCCUGCGCCCGGAGCAGCCCGGCCUGCCCCUCCGGCGCCCCCUUCCCGCCGCGCUCACAACCCAGGCACCAAAUCGUGCACUUCGAGCAACUGAUCGAGAUCCUGCUGCAAGUGCAAACUCUCGACCCGAAAGGCCUGGCCAGGAUCUCGGUUUUCCGGCCCCUGGAGAAGAACAGGCUCAGUCCAUCGUCCUUUGCAGAAGGCAACUGCUCGUCCGCGAGUCGCCGGAGAGUGGGAAGGCCCACUGCGGGCUCCGGGCCGCCGGGCGGGUCCGAGGAUGACAGCGGGUGGGGUGGAGACAGACCGGGGCUGCGGCCUGGGUUGGAGAGCCUUGUUUGCCUCUCUGCAAGGUCUCGGGAGCUUUCCGGAGCCCGCGAAUGCAGCCCGCUCUGCCGGGCGAGACCACCUCCACAAGGGCGCUGAAGACCUAGCAGCGAGGUGAGAGGGAAGGGGAGAGAUCGGUGUGUCCCUCUGCCCCCUCCCACCCUCUUUAUACGAGAUUGCGGAGAUUUAAGGGAACGACUUGUCUGUCUUGUUCCCCUGUGAGCCUGGUGUCCCAGAUGCUCCUGGAUCCCCUCCUCCGGGCGGCGAGGGCGGAGGGCUCAACCUGUCUCGCGGCUGGAAGGAGGCGGGGGAGGAGCGCUGGCCCCGCCCGAUCCUCGCAUUCGUCUGCGGUCGGUGUGUUUUCCAAACUUUUCUGGUUCGCGUCCAGGAGUUUUCCGGCUAUGCAGACAGAAUCCGGUGCCUGUGAGGCCUCCGGGUUUCAAGAGAGGCCCGGACCACUUCGGGCAAGGCCGGGCUCGGGAGCCAUGGCGGGUCGCCAGGGCCCGCAGAGCUGAGGUUACAACUUGCACUUCCAGCUGCAGGGCAUCUGGAGAAAUUCCCGAUCGUGGUCUGGGAGCGGCCCCAGUCCAGCCGAAGUAGUCCCGAGCCUCCGAAGGGUCUCAACACAGAGGAUCCCUGCCCAUGAUCGUGCGCCCCAGGGAUGCCUCAGGGCCGCUGUGGGAUGCUGGGGCGGGGGGAGGUGUGAACACGGCGUCAAUCUAGGGCCAGGAGUGGCAUCCCCACCACCCCGCUACUUGGAGCCGGUGUGUAAAAUGAGGAACCCAUUAAACCCGGGUCGUGGUGACUGGGCAAGUCUACCAUCUGUCUCCCACCCUGCCCACAACCUCUAGGGAAACGGCUUUGCCUCCAGCCCAUCAACAUGUUAAGUGCGCUUCUUUGUUUUAACUCUCCAGAUUAGUGGGGAUCCGUGAAGUAAAUCGAUUUGUAUCAAGAAACAAGGAAAGCCAAAGCAAGGAGGGGACCUGCGAACACUUCUCUCCAACUUACUGGGCCUGAACAGUUAGACCUUGGACUUGCAGCCCCCAGCCCAGUUUCGCCUGGCAGGGGGCCGGCGGUUUUGCCGGUGCGUCAGCAACUAGAUUCAGUUCGUCCCAGCGCCAGUCUCGAGGAGGUCUGAGCUACCCGCACAGGAGAGAAAAGCCGCCAAAUUAGAAUCAGAAGCGUGUGACAAGAAUUUUAAAAUAGGCACGUGACCACCGCGGCCCUCAAGCUGGCGAGGCCCGGCUCCCCCCACCUGCGGAACUCAGUCCACACUCUGGAUGUACUGACAAUGAAUGAUCGUCCCAAAGAUUUAGAGGCUCAGGAGUCAGGUUUAGGGGCUUUCCCGAAGGGACGGGAAGGGGAUGGAGAAACCUCCCUUCCCACACAAACAUACUUGCGCAGAGGGCCCCGCCCGCCCAAGCCUCUCUCUUGGGUCCUGGCGGCAUCGGUGCCACUCGACCAACACCUGGAUAAAUCCAUUGUGUCCUUCCCUCGAGUAGCAUCGUCCGUAGACUGUGAUCUCCAAGGGGUCUUCGAAGCACCUUGGAUCUCCUCGGGUCAGUGUUGAACCAGCGUUCUGUUUGGGGGAGGAGAUCCGCACUCCGGCCUGCGCGGGGAGAGGGUGCUCAGGUCCGGAGAGCUGGGUCCCGGUGCCUGCGAGGCCGGGAGGCUGUUUUGCUGAAAGCCUUACUUUCGGUUGCAAGGUUCGUAGGACUCGCUGGCAAAAUAACCACUCUACACUCAGUUAAACAAGAAUCUAGCCAGAGUCUGUUGAAUUAACAAUGAUUACAGUAUACUAAUUAAGAAGAGAACAGUAUAACUAACAGAAAGAAUAGUAAAGACAGAGGUUUAUACGUCACCGAACUGGGGAAGCACCUACAUCCAGAUCCAAGCAGCGCUGGGAAGUCCCUGGAACGGCGACCUGGAGUCCCGAUUGGAAGGUCUCUGGCGGUGCGUCCACCCCACGGCUGAGACUAGAGUACUGCUCAAAGGAGUCCUGCUUCUAAUGCCAAGCCGCAAGCCGAUAGUCAGCAGCUUACGCGCAAAUGUGCAGCUCUGGCUAUUAUCUGAAAUGCUUUGCUCUCUAGUCGUUAAGUCUCAGAAUAUUCGCUGAUCCCUGGGAAGCGGCCAGAUUCCCAAGGCUCAGGAAGCUUCCUGACUUAUUCCCUCCCUUAUCUGUUGGUGCUCAGGCUUGCUAGCGCCGUUUCUGCUGACCUACAUAGUACAAGACUAUUACCUUCCCCAGCAGAGGCAGGAGCCAGCGGCGCUCGGAGGAGGCCCCAGCCGCAGGAGGGGCUGCGGCCCGGAGGGAGCAUGCUGCCAGCCUGGAGUGCUCGCGCCCCGGGCACGCAAGCGGCUCACUCACCAAGUGCGGCAUCCACCAGCUCAGCCUCUUGGUUCAGACGUGGACCGGAAGCUUGGUCUUAAGUCUUCCGGCUAGAAAGAGCUCUGCGUAGUAUCUCUCGGCUCCCUCCGCGCUCCCGCCGCACGACCCCUGCGACCCGGAGAAGCAACCGGACGGGAGGCCAGGUGUUUGGCGGCGCCCAGCCUCCACCUCCAGGCUCGGCGGAAACUGCCCGCCCUCCCGAGGCCGCCGGUCCCUCCGAGUCACCGCCCCGCAAAAGCGGUCAGCGUUUGGGGAGGUGGAAAGCGAAGACACAGCGGGCCUCCCGCAGGCCUGGGAGGCAAUCGAGGCCUCUCCAAGCAUGAUUCCGGUCCCGCACGGCCCAAGGGCGGUCCCGUCGGGAGAACAGCGGCCGAGGGCAGCAGCGAGCGGAGCAGGUGGCCUGCGCGGGAGACGGCUGCGGGUCCAGCGCGCGCAGAUUACCUGGGGCCUCGUCGCUGAGGACUACCCAUGCAACAGCUCACUAGGACACUGAAUGGGGAGAAGUUAGUCAACAGAGCUGCCUGUCGUUCAGACCACACCCACGAGAAGGAUUCAGUGGAAGUGUGUAACUCUCGCCGGGGCAGAGAGUUGACAGAGCCUCUCUGAAACCCCAGUCCCAGGUGACCCUGGAGGGCUUGGCAACAUGCUUUCCACUAUUCGGGGCUUUUUCCUACCUCAUGUUUAAUUCUCUUGCUCAAUAUUCAUUUUAUUUUACUUUUCCGUAGUCAUCAGCUCUUGGUGUAAUACAAAUGUUCGACCAUU